rnacentral:rRNA from 1 species
GAUGAACGCUGGCGGCGUGCUUUAUACAUGCAAGUCGAGCGAUCGGACGCGGCGCUUUCUUCUCUGAUGUUAGCCGCGGACGUGUUACUAACACGUGGAUCCCCUCCCUAUAAGUCUCUGAUAACUUCGGGAACCGGUGCUACUUCCGGUCUAUAUUUUAAACCGCAUGGUUCUAAAGUGACAGACGGUCUUGCUGUCACUUAUAGAUGUAUCCGCUCUGUGUUAGCUAGUUUGGAAGGUAACGGCUUACCAAGGCAACGAUGCAUAGCCGACCUGAGAGGGGGAACGGCCAAACUGGAACUGGGACACGGGCCAGACUCCUACGGGAGGGAGCAGUAGGGAAUCUUCGGCAAUGGGCGAAAGCCUGACGGAGCAACGGCGGGUGAGUGAAGAAGGUCUUCGGAUCGUAAAACUGUGUUAUUAGGGAAGAAAAUAUGUGUAAGUAACUGUGGACAUCAUGACGGUAACUAAUAAGAAAGGCACGGCUAACUACGUG